GGGUUCAUAAGCUAAUAAAGCUAAUGAGUUCAUACCUCAUAAAUGAAAAGAUGCUGGCUCA
rnacentral:tRNA from 1 species